CGGGUCGGGGUCUGCAGGCGAC
rnacentral:miRNA from 1 species